GAGUUUUUUGCCCCAGGUUAAGGGUGACCAUCAGGGCCGUAGCGAAAGCGAGUCUUCAUAGGGCAAUUGUCACUUCUUAUGAACCCUGAGUGAUCUAUCCAUGACCUUGGGUGAAACUAAAUGGAGGUUCGAACCAACUGAUGUUGAAAAAUCAACAGAGGAGUUGUGGUUGGGGUGAAAUGUCACUCAAACCCAGAGCUAGCUAG
rnacentral:ncRNA from 1 species